rnacentral:lncRNA from 1 species
UAUGGCUCCAACCAUUACUAUAAACAAAACCACUUACUUACUAUCUUUGAUUUGGAAGUGUCACCUUCAAUUCCUUAUAAUUCCUUCACAUAAACUCUAAAAGUAAUAAUUCUUUUAUAAAAAAUGUAGGAUUUAAAAUCGCCGUUCCAUUCACACCUUUCAAUCUUCAAAAGCUAUUCUACAACUCCUCGUAUCUUCAAAAGAGUAAUGGUAUAUCUUAAAUUAAUACCUUAACUUCAAAUAGCUAUAACGUCUUCACCCUAACUCCAAAUCUUCUAAUUUUUAUACACAAAUUGUAUUCCAAAUCCUAAGCUUUACAAACCUAGCUUUUAAUCUCUCAAUACUUUCUUUGAAGUCACCAAAACCUUUGUUAAGGUCGCGGGCAGCCUUCUUAAAGCCCAUUGGGCAUGGUAUUCGACCAAUAGGAAUGAAGUUCUCUAUUCCUUGCCUUCAUUUGACCAUGCCUUGCUUUCAUCUCUCCCAAUUAGCCUCCUACUAUUUUCAU